GCGGUGGAGCAUGUGGCUCAAUUCGAUGCAACGCGAAGAACCUUACCAGGCCUUGACAUGCACUAGACAGACUCUGAAAGGAGUCCUCCCCUUCGGGGCUGGUGCACAGGUGCUGCAUGGCUGUCGUCAGCUCGUGUCGUGAGAUGUUGCGUUAAGUCGCGCAACGAGCGCAACCCCUGUCCUUAGUUGCCAUCAUUAAGUUGGGUACUCUAGGGAGACAAACCCUCUCUGAGGGUGGGAAGGUGGGGAUGACGUCAAGUCAGGAUGGCCCUUACGGCCUGGGCUGCACACGUGCUACAAUGCCCGAUACAGAGGGAAGCAAUACCGCGAGGUGGAGCAAAUCCUCAAAAUCGGGCCCAGUUCAGAUUGUAGUCUGCAACUCGACUACAUGAAGUUGGAAUCGCUAGUAAUGGCGCAUCAGCUACGGCGCCGUGAAUACGUUCCCGGGCCUU
rnacentral:rRNA from 1 species